UACGAAGGGGGCUAGCGUUGUUCGGAAUUACUGGGCGUAAAGCGCACGUAGGCGGCUUUGUAAGUUAGAGGUGAAAGCCUGGGGCUCAACUCCAGAAUUGCCUUUAAGACUGCAUCGCUUGAACGUCGGAGAGGUGAGUGGAAUUCCGAGUGUAGAGGUGAAAUUCGUAGAUAUUCGGAAGAACACCAGUGGCGAAGGCGGCUCACUGGACGACUGUUGACGCUGAGGUGCGAAAGCGUGGGGAGCAAACAGG
rnacentral:rRNA from 1 species